AGAGUUUGAUCCUGGCUCAGGACGAACGCUGGCGGCAUGCCUAAUACAUGCAAGUCGAACGCUGAAGCACUCUGCUUGCAGAGUGCGGAUGAGUGGCGAACGGGUGAGUAACACGUGGGAAAUGUGCCUAGGAGUGGGGGAUAACAUUCGGAAACGGAUGCUAAUACCGCAUAUCUUUUUGAACCGCAUGGUUCUUAAACGAAAGACGGCUUCGGCUGUCGCUCUUAGAUGAUCCCGCGGCGUAUUAGUUAGUUGGUGGGGUAAAGGCCUACCAAGACCAUGAUACGUAGCCGACCUGAGAGGGUGAUCGGCCACACUGGGACUGAGACACGGCCCAGACUCCUACGGGAGGCAGCAGUAGGGAAUCUUCCACAAUGGGUGAAAACCUGAUGGAGCAAUGCCGCGUGAAUGAAGAAGGUCUUCGGAUCGUAAAGUUCUGUUAUUAGAGAAGAACAAGUCAAGGAGUAACUGUCUUGACUUUGACGGUACCUAACCAGAAAGUCACGGCUAACUACGUGCCAGCAGCCGCGGUAAUACGUAGGUGACAAGCUUUGUCCGGAAUUAUUGGGCGUAAAGGGAGCGCAGGCGGUUGGAAUAGUCUGAUGUGAAAGCCCACGGCUUAACCGUGGAAGGUCAUUGGAAACUGUCCAACUUGAAUACAGAAGAGGUAAGUGGAAUUCCAAGUGUAGCGGUGAAAUGCGUAGAUAUUUGGAGGAACACCAGUGGCGAAGGCGACUUACUGGUCUGUAAUGACGCUGAGGCUCGAAAGCGUGGGUGCAAAC
rnacentral:rRNA from 1 species